GCAAGUAGAAAGAUUUUCCUGUUUGCGUGAUCCACACCUAGAACUUGGAAUCGCUACUUCUUUGGAUUAUGACUCCCAGAUUCUCCCAACCAGUAUGGCCAGUCCAGAAGUUACUUUUCAAGGAAAUGAAGGCCCAAAAUUCAAGUUGCUCAAGUCCAGAUUCAGGUGACAUCUAAAGAGCAAGCAGAUAUAAAAGCCAGCCAAACUGUCAACUGAUUUUUUCUUCACCAUGGGUGAUGAACAGCAACACUCUCCAACAUAAAUGAAGUCAAAGAUAUAGCCAUUUUAUUCUGUAGAAUCAGUAUGUAGAGAGAUCUUGUAGUACCUUUGAGACUAACUGAAGAAGGCAGAAGGCAGACUGCUUAGUAUGCAUUUCUCUCAUCCAAAUAUUUGUUGUUGCCUCUAAGGGUUUGCUACUUGACUGCUUCACUUUUACUAAUGGUAGGACUACCUUGGUGCAGUGGUUUGUGCACUGGACUAUGACUCUGGAGACGUGGGUUUGAAUCCUUGCUCACCCACAAAAAACUCACUGGGUGACCUUGGGCAAGUCACACUCUCUCAGC